rnacentral:rRNA from 1 species
GUGCCCGCCGGAGACCCCAACAUGAACCCUGUUCUGAAAGCUUGCAGUCUGAGUGUGAUUCUUUGCAAUCAGUUAAAACUUUCAACAAUGGAUCUCUUGGUUCCGGCAUCGAUGAAGAACGCAGCGAAAUGCGAUAACUAAUGUGAAUUGCAGAAUU